rnacentral:rRNA from 1 species
AUACGUAGGGUGCAAGCGUUAAUCGGAAUUACUGGGCGUAAAGCGUGCGCAGGCGGUUUUGUAAGACAGUGGUGAAAUCCCCGGGCUCAACCUGGGAACUGCCAUUGUGACUGCAAGGCUGGAGUGCGGCAGAGGGGGAUGGAAUUCCGCGUGUAGCAGGGAAAUGCGUAGAUAUGCGGAGGAACACCGAUGGCGAAGGCAAUCCCCUGGGCCUGCACUGACGCUCAUGCACGAAAGCGUGGGGAGCAAACAGGAUUAGAUACCCUGGUAGUCCACGCCCUAAACGAUGUCAACUGGUUGUUGGGUCUUCAUUGACUCAGUAACGAAGCUAACGCGUGAAGUUGACCGCCUGGGGAGUACGGCCGCAAGGUUGAAACUCAAAUGAAUUGACGGGG